GCCCAAAACCUGACCACUUUGGCCCACUCUGUAGGAACUGAUGGUCCAAGCGAGGAUGCUAUUGUGUUAACCACUGUACUGCAAAAUGGGACUACCCCUGCCCAAGAUGUAACCACCAUUACUGAUGCCCACGAUGACUCAUGAUGUGACUCAAGAUUGCUAAUGUUUCAUGGAAUUCUGUCAUUGCUUUCUCCAUCUUGAAUUCAAUAAAGGCCAGUUUUUCUUAUCCAA